UACGUAGGGUGCGAGCGUUGUCCGGAAUUAUUGGGCGUAAAGGGCUCGUAGGCGGUUUGUCGCGUCGGGAGUGAAAACCUUGGGCUUAACUCAGGGCUUGCUUUCGAUACGGGCAGACUAGAGGUAUGCAGGGGAGAACGGAAUUCCUGGUGUAGCGGUGAAAUGCGUAGAUAUCGGAAGGAACAUCAGUGGCGAAAGCGACUUCCUGGACCAAUACUGACGCUCAUGUGCGAAAGCGUGGGGAGCAAACAGG
rnacentral:rRNA from 1 species